GAGGAUUGUACUUCUGUGAAGAGGAGGGGACCAGGAUUUCAACUAAGUCUCUUCUCUUUCUUCCACAGCACCAAUGGAUGGCAUCUGCUCCACAGCCCGGCUGGGAUGCGUGGAGGAAGGGCCCCAUUCCACCCGAUGAGUCCUGGAGCACUCUGGCCAGUGGAAGUGAUGAGGACGCACUUUGGGGACAGCAGUCCCAGGAAUCGAGGGAACUUCUUCUCACUUUUUGGGUGUGGGUUGGGCCUUUUUUUGGGCUAGGGGGGUCUUUGGGUGUUAUGUACUAACAUAUUUUUUUUGUUUCUUUUAGUGAAGAACAAAGUCUAGUUAUUGAAGAUCUAGAAGAAUAAGGUGAGUUGGGAAAAUAGAGGGAGGGGUGCACCUGGUGGCACAGCGGAUCAAACCACUGAGCUGCUGAACGUACCGACCAGAAGGUCAGUGGUUUGAAUCCAGGCAGUGGGGUGAGCUCCUGCUGUUCGCCCCAGCUUCUGCCAACCUAUCAAUUCAAAAACAUGCAAAUGUGAGUAGAUCAAUAUGUACCGCUCUGGCAGGAAAGUAACAGCGCUCCAUGGAGUCAUGCUGGCCACAUGGCCUAGUAGGUAUCUACGGACAAUGCCAGCUCUGAGGCUUAGAAAUGGAGAUGAGCUCUAACCCACAGAUUCGGACAUGACUAGUCUUAAUGUCAGGGGAAACCUUUAUCGUUAACUCUCCCUUUUCAGAUCCAUCCUCUUCCUGGGACUGCUGUCUCCAUCGUGUGUCCACCUCCUCCCCUGGUCAGGGUGCCCAGUGAUGAAGAAUCCAUCUCGAAUGAGGCCCUUCCUCCUUCCCUCUGACCUUGUUCUCCUUUCUCCUUUGCAGAACAUCAGGAAAUUAGGUAUAAAUUGUUGGAAAUGAUGUCGGGGAGGAGGUGUAUCAAAAUAUACCCCAUAAGGUAAGCCCUUCCUCCUUCUUUUCUGGUU
rnacentral:lncRNA from 11 species